AUUGAACGCUGGCGGCAGGCCUAACACAUGCAAGUCGAACGAGUGGCGGACGGGUGAGUCAUGUCUGGGAAACUGCCUGCUGGAGGGGGAUAACUACUGGAAACGGUAGCUAAUACCGCAUACCAUCAGAUGUGCCCAGAUGGGAUUAGCUAGUUGGUGGGGUAAAGGCAUACCAAGGCGACGAUCCGUAACUGGUCUGAGAGGCUGCUCAGUGCAACUGGAACUGGGACCCGGGCCAGACUCCUACGGGAGGGCGCAGUGGGGAAUGUUGGGCAAUGGGCGAAAGCCUGAUCCAGCCAUGCCGCGUGUGUGAAGAAGGUCUUCGGAUUGUAAAGCACUUUAAGUUGGGAGGCGUUACCAACAGAAGAAGCACCGGCUAACUUCGUGCCAGCAGCCGCGGUAAUAC
rnacentral:rRNA from 1 species